rnacentral:rRNA from 1 species
AACGAACGCUGGCGGCGUGGAUAAGACAUGCAAGUCGAACGGGAUAACAUCUGUAGCAAUACAGGUGUUAUUUAGUGGCGAACGGGUGCGUAACACGUGGGCAAUCUGCCGAGAAGUGGGGGAUAGCUCGCCGAAAGGCGAAUUAAUACCGCAUAUGAUCAGCUAAGACAUCUUAGCGACAUCAAAGCCGGGGUAACCUGGCGCUUCUUGAUGAGCCCGCGGCCAUCAGCUAGUUGGUGAGGUAACGGCUCACCAAGGCUAUGACGGGUAGCUGGUCUGAGAGGACGACCAGUCACACUGGAACUGAGACACGGUCCAGACACCUACGGGUGGCAGCAGUCGAGAAUUUUUCUCAAUGGGGAAACCCUGAAGGAGCGACG